CAGCCGCCGCGGGAAAACGAAGGGUGCAAGCGUUAAUCGGAAUUACUGGGCGUAAAGCGUGCGUAGGCGGUUUGUUAAGUCUGUUGUGAAAUCCCCGAGCUUAACUUGGGAACUGCAUUUGAAACUGGCAAGCUAGAGUCUUGUAGAGGGGGGUAGAAUUCCAGGUGUAGCGGUGAAAUGCGUAGAGAUCGGGAGGAACAUCAGUGGCGAAGGCGGCCAUCUGGGACAACACUGACGCUGAGGCACGAAAGCGUGGGGAGCAAACAGGAUUAGAUACCCCCGUAGUCCAUGUCUCUUAUCC
rnacentral:rRNA from 1 species